rnacentral:rRNA from 1 species
UACGGGGGGGAGCAAGCGUUGUUCGGAUUUACUGGGCGUAAAGGGCGCGUAGGCGGCCACCGCAAGUCGACUGUGAAAUCUCCGGGCUUAACCCGGAAAGGUCAGCCGAUACUGCGGGGCUAGAGGUGCAGAAGGGGCAACUGGGAAUUCUCGGUGUAGCGGUGAAAUGCGUAGAUAUCGAGAGGAACACCUGCGGCGAAGGCGGGUUGCUGGGCUGACACUGACGCUGAGGCGCGAAAGCUAGGGAGCGAACGGG